rnacentral:rRNA from 1 species
GAUCCUGGCUCAGGACGAACGCUGGCGGCGUGCCUAACACAUGCAAGUCGAACGAGGCCACUCCUUCGGGAGUGAGUCGAGUGGCGGACGGGUGAGUAACACGUGAGCAAUCUACCCUUGUGCGGGGGAUAACCCGGGGAAACCCGGGCUAAUACCGCAUGUUUCGGGAGAACGACAUCGUUUUCCCGGGAAACGUGGCCUCUUUACAAUGCUACGGCGCAGGGAGGAGCUCGCGGGCUAUCAGCUAGUUGGUGAGGUAACGG